rnacentral:lncRNA from 1 species
GAUCAGGGCAGCUGCAGUACAGUGGGCAAAUGACAACCCCAAACAGGACAGGAAGCAUUUCUUUCCAAUCCAAAAUGGAGGUCUAUCUAAUGUUUUUCAUAAAUCUAUGUAUUCUUCUCCUUCAGAUGACUACAGUUGAAAGGCAGAGCUCGUUUCAACUUCUGACAGUGGGACAAUAGUGUGCUGUCACCCUACUGUGGACAUCCUGUAUGAACACACCAAACCUAUCCCUCAACCAGAUCGUUUGCAUAAUAAUGAAGAAACACACAGGAACAAGUGCUGAAAACCAAAUUAGAAGAACAGCUUGAGCAAGGGCCCGUGAUAGAAUGACUCAGCAAGGUGUUCUUCACUAUAAAGCAUCACCGGUACCCACAUGGCCAGUACCACCAACAUCCUAAGAACCUGAAUCCUCCCAAAGACA